AAAGCAGGGGAUCUUCGGACCUUGCGCUAUUGGAUGAGCCCAAGCGGAUUAGCUUGUUGUCGGGGUAAUGGCCCACCAAGGCAACGAUCCGUAGCUGGUCUGAGAGGAUGAUCAGCCACACUGGGACUGAGACACGGCCCAGACUCCUACGGGAGGCAGCAGUGGGGAAUAUUGCACAAUGGGCGAAAGCCUGAUGCAGCCAUGCCGCGUGUGUGAAGAAGGCUCUAGGGUUGUAAAGCACUUUCAGUAGGGAGGAAAAGCUCAAGGUUAAUAACCUUGAGCCCUGACGUUACCUACAGAAGAAGCACCGGCAAACUCCGUG
rnacentral:rRNA from 1 species